UACGUAGGGGUCGAGCGUUGUCCGGAUUUAUUGGGCGUAAAGAGCGUGUAGGCGGUUUGGUAGGUCCGUUGUGAAAACUCGAGGCUCAACCUCGAGACGCCGGCGGAAACCAUCAGGCUAGAGUCCGGAAGAGGAGAGUGGAAUUCCUGGUGUAGCGGUGAAAUGCGCAGAUAUCAGGAAGAACACCCGUGGCUAAGGCGGCUCUCUAGUACGGUACUGACGCUGAGACGCGAAAGCGUGGGGAGCGAACAGG
rnacentral:rRNA from 1 species